rnacentral:rRNA from 1 species
GAUGAACGCUGGCGGCGUGCCUAAUACAUGCAAGUCGAGCGAACAGACGAGGAGCUUGCUCCUCUGACGUUAGCGGCGGACGGGUGAGUAACACGUGGAUAACCUACCUAUAAGACUGGGAUAACUUCGGGAAACCGGAGCUAAUACCGGAUAAUAUAUUGAACCGCAUGGUUCAAUAGUUAAAGACGGUUUUGCUGUCACUUAUAGAUGGAUCCGCGCCGCAUUAGCUAGUUGGUAAGGUAACGGCUUACCAAGGCAACGAUGCGUAGCCGACCUGAGAGGGUGAUCGGCCACACUGGAACUGAGACACGGUCCAGACUCCUACGGGAGGCAGCAGUAGGGAAUCUUCCGCAAUGGGCGAAAGCUUGACGGAGCAACGCCGCGUGAGUGAUGAAGGUCUUCGGAUCGUAAAACUCUGUUAUUAGGGAAGAACAAAUGUGGAAGUAACUAUGCACGUCUUGACGGUACCUAAUCAGAAAGCCACGGCUAACUACGUG